GAUGAACGCUAGCGGCAGGCCUAACACAUGCAAGUCGAGGGAGGAGCUUUCGGGCUUCGACCGGCGUACGGGUGCGUAACGCGUAUACAAUCUGCCUUUCACAUAGGGAUAGCCCGAAGAAAUUUGGAUUAAUACCUAAUGGUAUAUAGAGGUGGCAUCACCUUUAUAUUAAAGCUGAGGCGGUGAAAGAUGAGUAUACGUUCUAUUAGCUAGUUGGAGAGGUAACGGCUCCCCAAGGCGACGAUAGAUAGGGGUUCUGAGAGGGAUAUCCCCCACACUGGUACGGAGAAACGGACCAGACUCCUAGGGGAGGAAGCAGGGAGGAAUAUGGGAAAAGGGGCGGAAGACUGAACCAGCCAUGCCGGGGGAAGGAAGACGGCCUUGUGGGUUGUAAACUGUUUUUGCAGGGGAAAAAAAAGGACUACGGGUAGUUUGAUGACGGUACUCUGGAAAUAAGCAUCGGCUAACUCCGU
rnacentral:rRNA from 1 species